ensembl:snRNA U6 U6 spliceosomal RNA
GUGCUUGCUUCAGCAGCACAUAUCCUAAAAUUUGGAACGAUACAGAGAAGAUUAGCAUGGUCCCUGGGUAA